rfam:Gossypium raimondii Chr13_contig_1284, whole genome shotgun sequence.
CGGGAAAGAGCGUAGUAAGUGACGAAAUUCUUCGGGGAGUUAAAAAUAAGUGUAGAUCUAGAGAUUCUCGAAUAGGUCACCCUUUUGAAUUGUUACUGAACUUGGAGAUUUGAAACAUUAAACAUCUUAAUAACUGGAGGAAAAGAAAGCAAAAGCUAUUUUCGUAAUGGCGACGAGCGAAAUAGGAGCAAUUUAAACCGUGGAAACGGUGUUGUGGGAAAGCAAUAAAAGUGUCGCGCUGCUAGGCGAAGCGGUGAAGUGUCAAACCCUAGAUGGCAAUUACACUCUGACCGAGUAGCACUAUAUGCAGGGGUUAGCAGGAGCCUGAUAAAAAUUAUAAAG